UACGUAGGGUGCAAGCGUUAAUCGGAAUUACUGGGCGUAAAGCGUGCGCAGGCGGUUGUGCAAGACAGAUGUGAAAUCCCCGGGCUUAACCUGGGAACUGCAUUUGUGACUGCACGGCUAGAGUGUGUCAGAGGGGGGUAGAAUUCCACGUGUAGCAGUGAAAUGCGUAGAUAUGUGGAGGAAUACCGAUGGCGAAGGCAGCCCCCUGGGAUAACACUGACGCUCAUGCACGAAAGCUAGGGGAGCGAAUGGG
rnacentral:rRNA from 1 species